rnacentral:rRNA from 1 species
AGUUUGAUCAUGGCUCAGAAUGAACGCUGGCGGCGUGCUUAACACAUGCAAGUCGAACGAUGAAGCUGUAGCUUGCUACAGUGGAUUAGUGGCGCACGGGUGAGUAAUAUAUAGAUAACGUGCCUCUUAGUCUGGGAUAGCCAUUGGAAACGAUGAUUAAUACCGGAUACUCCUUCUCUAUCUAAUUAGAGUCGGGAAAGUUUUUCGCUAAGAGAUCGGUCUAUAUCCUAUCAGUUAGUUGGUGAGGUAACGGCUCACCAAGGCAAUGACAGGUAGCGGGUUUGAAAGGAUGAUCCGCCACACUGGUACUGAGACACGGACCAGACUCCUACGGGAGGCAGCAGUGAGGAAUAUUGCACAAUGGGGGAAACCCUGAUGCAGCAACGCCGCGUGGAGGAUGACGCAUUUCGGUGUGUAAACUCCUUUUAUAUGUCAAGAAAAUGACGGUAGCAUAUGAAUAAGCACCGGCUAACUCCGUGCCAGCAGCCGCGGUAAUACGGAGGGUGCAAGCGUUAUUCGGAAUCACUGGGCGUAAAGGACGCGUAGGCGGGUUUGUAAGUCAGGUGUGAAAUCCUACAGCUUAACUGUAGAACUGCACUUGAAACUACUGACCUAGAGUAUGGGAGGGGGAGAUGGAAUUAGUGGGGUAGGGGUAAAACCCGUAGAUAUC